AGGGAGGAGUCGGUGUGAGGUGCUAAGCCCAUGGCUAGAUGAGGGUCAGGGCAAACCGGGUAAGAGUUCAACUGUAGAAAGGAUUGGAUCGAGUUGGUUUCAGAACCAGUUUUGUCUGGUACAAGCCAUCCCAAAUCUUCAUGUGUUAUCCCUAACGAGCCCAUCAACAUAGUUAUAAGUCUAAGACUUAGAUCAUCCAUUGCCUUCUGGUACUCUUCCAUCACAUUGCUACAUUUGCCAAACAAAGAAUAAACAAUUUGUUCAGAAAUUUUGAUAUAAUUUUUUUUGUAUAUAUCUAUUUUCCAUGUAGAACACAUUAAAUAGUCCAAUGAAGUUCAAGUGUUACAAAAAAAAAAGAGAGAGAAUUACUUAUCACGUUGUACAUAUUAACUUAUAUUCAUAUUAUAUAGAAUACAGUUAGAUUUGGGUAAGACAUCGUUCAAAUUAAAUCAUAAAUAUAUAGUUUUUGUCUUCAUUUACACAUUUUCACAUAUUCUCUAGGUCAUGCGCAUUUUUUGAUUAGGAAAAUAUGAUAAAUAUUAUGAUUACUACUCACCAGAAGUCAGCAUGAUCAUCGGGCCAUAAGAGUGUAGCGUGACGCCGAAGAGAGGAACCCAAUACGGAGAACCCCUCAGACCACAUGAGCUUAUCAUAGAACAUGGAGAUCCGAACAACACCGUAACCAGUGGACUCGUCGGGAGAUCGGACGGC
rnacentral:lncRNA from 1 species